GUAAAAAAAAAACUGCAGAGAGGAAAAAACAUUCUCUCAAUCCUUCCCCUUUCCGGCCAAAUGGGCCACCGUCGGCCCCGCCGUGGGCGGUGGUCGGUGGUCGGAAGCCCAAACGUCGGGCUUUUAAGCCCUGCUUCAAGGACCACUGAAGACCAAGUCUUCAUAGCCUCGGGGUCACGAGAGAAAAAAAAAAUCGUCGCCCUCCUUGCCCGAUUUCGGUGACCCGAAGUAGGACUCCGGCGACGAUGCUCGCGGGGCGAUUCCGGUAAGAUUCUUUCUCCUUUUCCCUUUUUUAUUAUUAUAUGUUCUCAUAUAUAUAUAUGAUUGAAAAAAACGAAAGAAAAAAAUAAGUGAACCAGAAACGGAAAUAAAAAAGGAAAAGAAGAACACCUUUUUUUUUGUAUUGAUUUCUCAAUAUUUUUGUUUUUUUUACAUUUUGUUCUUCUUCUUACAAUCUGUUUUAAAAUCGGUCUUUAUACCGAAAAUUAAAAACAAAAAACCUCCUGUUGCUUGUUGCUGUUGUCUCUCUUUAUUAUUUGCAGGUAUAGGGCGGUGGAGGAGACGUGACACGGACGGGGUAGGUGCGCCAUUUGCGCUGACGGGGCAGAAGUCAGAAGACCCUAGCAUGCGGCACCGAGGGAGGGGCUAGGGUUCUGAAACCCUAGUCUCUGUUGGGUUUGGGCCUAUUGUUUUUGUUUUGCUGGUAUAAGGCCCGGGCAAAUUUGGGCUGUACAGUAAAUAUAAAUACACAAUUGAUGAAAGUAAUAAAAUACGUAUAAUAAAAUUAAAAUGUAUAAAUAAAUCAAAAUAAUGCUUUGGUUGAAUGAUAAUUUUAAAAAAAAUUUAAUAUAAUUGACAUAAGUUUCAAUAUCACUAUAUACAUUUAUUUUUAUUUUUUAAAAUUAAAAAAAUUAAAAUAUCUUCAAAUGAUAUAUUUUAUUUUAAAUACAAA
rnacentral:lncRNA from 1 species